rnacentral:rRNA from 1 species
GAUGAACGCUGGCGGCGUGCCUAAUACAUGCAAGUCGAGCGAACAGAUGAGGAGCUUGCUCCUCUGACGUUAGCGGCGGACGGGUGAGUAACACGUGGAUAACCUACCUAUAAGACUGGGAUAACUUCGGGAAACCGGAGCUAAUACCGGAUAAUAUAUUGAACCGCAUGGUUCAAUAGUGAAAGACGGUUUUGCUGUCACUUAUAGAUGGAUCCGCGCCGCAUUAGCUAGUUGGUAAGGUAACGGCUUACCAAGGCAACGAUGCGUAGCCGACCUGAGAGGGUGAUCGGCCACACUGGAACUGGGACACGGUCCAGACUCCUACGGGAGGCAGCAGUAGGGAAUCUUCCGCAAUGGGCGAAAGCCUGGCGGAGCAACGCCGCGUGAGUGAUGAAGGUCUUCGGAUCGUAAAACUCUGUUAUUAGGGAAGAACAAAUGUGUAAGUAACUAUGCACGUCUUGACGGUACCUAAUCAGAAAGCCACGGCUAACUACGUG